GUCUUCCUUCCUCCACACCCUCCUCAGAAGUGGCCACGGAAAUCCUCGGCAAGGAUGUCCUAGCAGUUGAGAUAGAACCCAACCUAGGCUGGCCAGUCAGACCCCAUUUCUCUAUCCAGAGGGAAUGGUUCAGUUAUGGACAUGUGACCCAAGUAAGGCCAAUCAUGAUUGACAGAUGAGUACUGGCUAAGAGGGGUCCUCAUUAUCCAGAAAAUGCUGAAAAAGCAAAAGCAGCUUCAAAUUCAUCAGUCGACCCUCUUUUCUUACAGGCUCUUCAGUCCUCAUGCCAUCAGAGAGUUUUCACGAGCUGUUUCAACUCAUGAAAGUCUGGAGGCUCAGACCAUCAAGUUUGGCUCCUGCUCCCAGCUCUAGGCCCCGUAGGGAUUGGCCGAUACCUUCAGGAUUCUGCCCGUCUCAGCCUGUGAUGUCUUCCUUGCCGGGCCUUCCUUUCAGGGAAAGGAGAAUUGCUUAAGACUUAAAAGCUUGCUCAGCUGCGUCAAGCCCCCUUGCCUAGUAAGAAAGGACAAAUCUUCACAAACAUAAGGCCAUUUGACUUGAAGAGUCCCAUCCCACAGGACUGUCCGGGGCAGGGGACAGGGAUGCUGACUGCUGGCCUCGAUCCUGCUGCUG